ensembl:lncRNA
UUGAUUUCAUAGGCGGACUUGAGGCACACUCCUACUACCAAGAUCAUGUUGAGUUAAAGCCUGUUCAUCUGUCGAAAUAAAUAAUGGCACGGACUCUGAAAUGCGGCCACUGCACUUGACUUAGGAAGCAAAGCACCGUCAACGGCACUUCCCUGCAUCCACAUGUCUCACUUCCUUCCAGAGGAUGGACCGCGCCUCCCCGCUUUCCCACGCAUCACGGAGUUCUCAGGUCACAGCCUCUGUACUAUUAGCAUUGUUUGCUAGAUGAGUUGUAGGUGCUUGGGUGGGUAUAUUUUUAGUCAUUUCCUUCUUAUAUGAAUACUCGCAAAUUGUUUUUAAUUUUAACAAUAUUCAAUGUGAGGCAUGCAAAAUGAAAACCAUUCUGUGAAAAGCUUCCCCAGUCAAUUCAAAGAGAAAUGCAGGUUUGUGUUGUUGAGGUGUUAAGUCCCCUUCGAUGACUGAUGCCUGUGGUUAUCCUAGGCCUGAUGGAGUUUGCACAGUGGACAGUACCCGGGUUCCUUGGCAGGAAGUUAGAUGCAGUGACAACUGAUAAAUGGGUACAGCUAGUGUGUCGGGCUUUCAGACUGAGUCUGGAUCAUGUUUUCAACAUCACAAGAAAAAAAAGGGAGUCCUCUUUCAUUCUCGACUUUCCCAAACCCAGAAUAAUAUCACGGCAAUCUCAAAGUUCAGAUUCUGACAUGACGUCUUGUUCCUCUUGUGUUCUGAAAAAUACGUAUCAUUGGCGUGUAAAAGGGUGAAAUGACCAGUAGGACAUCUUUCCCAUUUGGAGGGAAUCUGGGUAUCUCUGAGGUUCAGAUUUUCUACCCUUUAUCACAGUUCUGGCACAGGCAGCAGACCUAACUAUACAGCCUGUAGGCUUACGGGGCAGAAAUCACAAAAAUCUGCAGUCAGGAAGGUUGCUCUUAAAAUAUUCUGAAGAAGGUAUUAAAAGGGCAUGGAAUUCUCUAGAAUUACUUCUAAAGAAGAUAUUUAAGUGUUUUGCAUCAAUUUUUCUUUCUCCUACCCACACCAAGAAUCAAGAAAUUAAUAUGGGAAACAUAAUUUUCCAUGGAAAAAAGACUGCCUUGGGAAAAAAAAAACAAACCAUCAGAGUUUUUUCCAUUCAUAUCUUUCAGUGACUAUUUGCCAUAUCAAAAUAAGCGUGGCUCACUUGGGUAACAACCAAUAUGAGAUUUCCCAUGAGCCUCAAAAUUGUGAAUAUUCUAUUUAAUCCAGAAGUUAACCUGAACCACACAUCUCUAAGAAAUCAGUUUACAAAUCAUCUAAAAUUGUGUGCAAAUUUGUGUAUGUUUGUUGAGGGGUUUUUUUCCCUGCUUCUUUGUCUUUGAAGAUCCUAUAUUUUUUGAGACUCUGUGAAGAAUCAGAAUUUAUGCAGUAAAGUCUGCCGUGGUUCCUCCCAGUGUGUGAUCAACACUGUGAGCUUUCUGGAGGACUGUUUCACUCAUAGCUUCUAGAUUUUACCAUCAGUCAGCGGACAACCCCUGAAUCUCAUCACUUCUCAUUUCACUGAACAAACCCAAAUUCAAAUGAAGAGGAACUAACAGGGACCCAGAAGGGCCGAUCUAAGCCACCUUGUGUUGAGGUGACCUAAAGCCUACGAGGUUUGAUGGUGUAUCCGGAGUCCUGCUGUAUUCAGAGGGCACAGGCUAUAGCGAAAGGAAGGAGAAGCUGGAGGGCAAAACCAGGAGGGGCGUGGUCCGCCAAUGUGGUCUUGGACAGUGUUGGAUAUCUUGGCCCCGGAGACUUCCUCAUCUAUAGAGUGAAAGAUAAUCCCUACCUCCAAAGGGUAAGGCUCACCUGGAAGGAUUACCUGGAAAUGUCAAAAAUACUCUGUAAACUGUGAAGCCCACAAUUGAUAGAGGUGAUGAUCCUUGUAAUUACACAAAAAGUUGGAUCCUGUCUGGAGCUUUUGCUACCCAUUCACAUGCUGUGCAGAGCCCCCGCAAACCCCAAACUCUUUCAAGUUUUCUAAAAAGUAGCUUGAGGAGUUCCCAUAGGGGCGCAGCAGAAACAAAUCUGACUAGGAACCAUAAGGUUGCGGGUUUGAUCCCUGGCCUUGCUCAGUGGGUCAAGGAUCCAGCAUUGCUGUGAGCUGCAGUGCAGGCCAGCGACUACAGCUCUGAUUAGACCCCUAGCCUGAGAACUUCCAUAUGCCACAGAUGCGGCCCUAAAAAGACAAUAAAUAAAUAAAUAAAUAAAAUAAAAAAAGUAAAAAGUAGCUUGAAAUAACUGCCCAUGUUUAAGAGAUGAGAAAUACUACACACGAAACAGUGCUUCUUAAUUUAAAACUAACUUUUAUGUUCGAAUUCCAAGACAAAUGCAUAUUAUUAUUAUGGAUAAGGCUAAUAGAGUAUUUUAAAAAGUAGAAAAUCAGUAAGACAGAAGAAUAAAAUUCACAUUUAAAUAGUUUAAACUGGAGUUCCCAUUGUGGCUCAAUGGGUUAAGGACCCAACAUAGUAUCCAUGAGGAUGUGAGUUCAAUCUCUGGCCUUGCUGUGACCUGUGGUGUAGUUUGCAGAUGCAGCUCAGAUCUGGCUUUGCUGUGACUGUGGCAUAGACUGGCAGCUGCAACUCUGAUUCAACCCCUAGCCUAGCAAAUUCCAGAUGUUGCAGCUGCAGCCCUAAAAA